ensembl:snRNA U6 U6 spliceosomal RNA
GUGGUCUUCACUUCAGCAGCACUUAGGUUAAAACUGAAACAUACAGAGAAGAUUAGCAUGUUCCCUGUGCAGGGAUGGCGUGCAAAUGUGUGAAGUGUUCUAUAUUUUU